GGGUUAAUGACGGAAUUGGUAGACGUGUCGGUCUCAAACACCGAUGUUGAAAGACGUCCGGGUUCGACCCCCGGUUAGCCCACCA
rnacentral:tRNA from 1 species